CAGCAGUCGCCGCGGUAAAACGGAGGGGGCUAGCGUUGUUCGGAAUUACUGGGCGUAAAGCGCACGUAGGCGGCUUUGUAAGUUAGAGGUGAAAGCCUGGGGCUCAACUCCAGAAUUGCCUUUAAGACUGCAUCGCUUGAACGUCGGAGAGGUGAGUGGAAUUCCGAGUGUAGAGGUGAAAUUCGUAGAUAUUCGGAAGAGCACCAGUGGCGAAGGCGGCUCACUGGACGACUGUUGACGCUGAGGUGCGAAAGCGUGAGGAGCAAACAGGAUUAGAUACCCCCGUAGUCCCUGUCUCUUAUAA
rnacentral:rRNA from 1 species